UGUGUGUGUCUGUUAGUGAGUGUGUGUGUGUGUCUGUUAGUGAGUGUGUGUGUGUCUGUUUAACAGACACACACACACACUCACUAACAGACACACACACU